CAGAGGUCACUGCUAUCGGGGUUCGAUUWAGCCAUGCGAGUCGAGAGGGUUCAGACCCUCGGCGGACUGCUCAGUAACACGUGGAUAACCUGCCMUAAGGUGGAGCAUAACCCCGGGAAACUGGGGAUAAUACUCCAUAGGUUAGAGAUACUGGAAUGUUCUUUAAUCGAAAGUUCCGGCGCCUUAGGAUGGAUCUGCGGCCGAUUAGGUAGUUGUUGGGGUAACGGCCCAACAAGCCUGUAAUCGGUACGGGUUGUGGGAGCAAGAGCCCGGAGAUGGAAUCUGAGACACGAUUCCAGGCCCUACGGGGCGCAGCAGGCGCGAAAACUUUACAAUGCAGGAAACUGUGAUAAGGGAACCCCGAGUGCCCGUAUACGCGGGCUGUCCGGGUGUAUAAAAAGCAUCUGAAGAAAGGGCCGGGCAAGACCGGUGCCAGCCGCCGCGGUAAUACCGGCGGCUCGAGUGGUGACCACUUUUAUUGGGCUUAAAGCGUUCGUAGCUGGACUCUUAAGUCUCUUGGGAAAUCCCGCGGCUCAACCGUGGGGCGUUUAAGAGAUACUGGGAGUCUAGGAACCGGGAGAGGUAAGAGGUACUUCGGGGGUAGAAGUGAAAUUCUGUAAUCCUCGAGGGACCACCGAUGGCGAAGGCAUCUUACCAGAACGGCUUCGACAGUGAGGAACGAAAGCUGGGGGAGCGAACGGGAUUAGAUACCCCGGUAGUCCCAGCCGUAAACGAUGCGCGUUAGGUGUACUGGUGACCACGAGUCACUGGGGUGCCGAAAGGGAAACCGUGAAACGUGCCGCCUGGGAAGUACGGUCGCAAGGCUGAAACUUAAAGGAAUUGGCGGGGGAGCACCMYAACGGGUGGAGCCUGCGGUUUAUUG
rnacentral:rRNA from 1 species